GGCCGGUUAGCUCAGUGGUUUGAGCGCGGUGCUGACAAGGACCAACAUCGAGCUCGCGGGUUCAAUUCCCGCUCGGUCC
rfam:Apaloderma vittatum contig43743, whole genome shotgun sequence.